rnacentral:misc_RNA from 1 species
CAUAUAUGGUUAAUUGAACUAUCAGCAGGUGAAUCAUAAACAGAAAUCACGACAGCGGAGGAAUAUUGAGCCAGACAAAGCAGAGCUAAGAAAAUGCUGCGUUCAACCUGUUUGCUGCUGGCGGCAACAUGUGUCAUGGCCGAUGUUUACUUACACGUUCCAAGAGGCUCAAAUAACAGACUCAAUGAAAAUUCAGCAAAUCGACAAAAUGCUAACAGACUAUUUGACUCACAGAACAACAACAGAGGUGGUUACAAUGUUGGGGAUCAAGGGCAGAAUGCCCAGGCUGGGAAUGGUGAAGAGAAUCAAUAUAGAAUGACAUACUUCCAAAGCGCCAAAGCUUACAAGACUUUAACAGAUGAUGCUGGUAAGAGUUUCUUGACAUUUGAAUGGACCAAUCAGCAUGGAUGUGGAGGUAACGAGGAUACAGACCCGCAUAAACAGAAUUGCAAUAUCGUGUUUCAGUAUAUGUGCAUGCCUGAAAUCAAUUCUGCUACAGGUGCUCAAGGUGCAGGUCAAAUAAGAAAUGGAGAAACCACUGCAACUCAAAACUAUCAACAAACCAAUAAUCAGAAUGAAAAUCAAAAUGCUGCUACAAAUCGCCGCAACAACAAUGUUAAUGUGAAUAGAGGCCUACAGGAACCAUGGGAAUGGUACGAUAAAUGCAACAGCCGUGAGAGGAAUGCAGGUUUGUUUACUGCUGACCAAAAACUAAAAGCCAACAAUGGUCGUGGAAUUAGUGCUGCCAUCUAUACAAGACAAAACCCUAACGGUAAUCGUCGUGGUUAUGAGUGUCCGGAAGAGAGAGAUUAUUAUCCAUACUGGCAUCCAACUGUGUGGAGGGACAUUGCAGUGCUCUCGGAGAAUGCUAGUCAAUGCGCAUACUAUACCAACAACAGCUUCAAUACACGACCAUAUGGAGAAUGCAUUGAGACAUAUGGGAAUGGACAGGCCAAACACUGGUCACAGUAUAACAAUCCUGCAGAUUGUGCUGAUAAUGGAGGUGAAUGGACAGAAUUCUCCAGCUACUUGGACAAAGCACCAGAGUUCACAACACAAGCUGCAUGCGAAGCUGCAGGGACCAAAGAUGGACAUCAACUUAUCUGGGCCAUACCAUAUGACAGACCCCUCAUUGGUUCCAUAUCUACAGAUGAGGCUUGCCUUGUUGCUAUGGAUCCCCCAGAGUGCAAGGAAGCACCCUGGUCUAGGUCCAAUCACCUUGGGAAUGGGCGAGAUGGAGUAGCUAACAACUAUACAUGGACCAUUCCUCAGUUCACAUCGACAGACACUCAGAGAUGUGCAAUGCGAAUAAGAUAUAACAUCUCAACCGAUGAUUAUGAUCCUUUCAACACUGACAGCACUCAGAAUAAGAAUAUUGCUCAAGGGAUUGUGUCGCCAGUACAACAAAACCCAAUUGUUGAAGUAGGAGCAAGCUCACCUCUCCGUCUUGCAAUAAAUACAGCACAAUUUGGACGUGUUUUUCAAGAUCGCAGCCACGCCUUUUUACUUGCUCCAAGGCCAGCUGGUGUUGGCGAUGAGAAACUGUAUAAUUUGAAUGUUCGGGGAAAGCGGGGAAAUAUUGUUCAAACAUUUCCUGCUGUGGAGUAUGAUUUUGCCCCAAAUGAUCUGAACAUUACGGAUGCUGACUUGGUGCAUAUACAGUGGACAGGGUCAAACAGUCACAACAAUGGCAACCCAGGAGGUGAUGGUCAAACAGGAGAUGCAGGGGAAGGAACCGGAGGAACUGAUCGUAGCAAUAUCGUAGAGAUUCUUGAUAGGAAUGACAACUUCCCAAUACCAUUUGAGAAUACAAACAUGUGGACUGGGGCAGAGAUAAAGUGGGUCCCCAAUGCUGGAAAAACAGUAACUGCAGAGGACCUUGCAGUUAACAUGGCCUCUUCUGGAUAUUACCAGUGUAUGAAUGCUGCAACUUGCCAGGGUGAGAGUGUCCAAAACAAGGCCCAAUUAAACAACCUCCUGAACAAUGCCCCUGCAUCAUAUGAGGGGGCUGUGGUGAAGUUCAAAGAAGGACUUCAUCAAUACAUGAGUACACGCAAUAAUAACUUUUCAAACCGCAGCCAGAAAGGUGGUAUUAAUGUAAAUAAGAAAUAGUGCCUGUACUUACUUCUUCAAUUCAAAGCUGAGCCACUUGGUCUGUCUGUCCGUCUGUCUGUCUGACUGUCCGUCUUGAUACGCAAACAUCCUGAAAUACUUGGGUUUUUGAAAUUAUAUUUUAUUUUGAUA